UACGGGGGGAGCAAGCGUUGUUCGGAUUUACUGGGCGUAAAGGGCGCGUAGGCGGCGCAACAAGUCACUUGUGAAAUCUCCGGGCUUAACCCGGAGCGGCCAAGUGAUACUGUCGUGCUAGAGUGCGGAAGGGGCUACUGGAAUUCUCGGUGUAGCGGUGAAAUGCGGAGAUAUCGAGAGGAACACCUGCGGCGAAGGCGGGUAGCUGGGCCGACACUGACGCUGAGGCGCGAAAGCCAGGGGAGCGAACGGG
rnacentral:rRNA from 1 species